GAGAGUGAGCCAUUAUUUCUACAUUUAACACUUGUACAUUUUUAUUUAGUUAAAUCAGCCAUUGUACACAUUGCAGCUAUGUAUUGUUAGUGUUGUAUUUUUUAAAUUUUUAACUAAUACAUGCCCUCAUAGAUAUAUUCAAUUAGUGUUAUCACCAUGGGAACAAGAUGCUGAUUCGUCAACUUAAAAUUCACUUCUUCUCACAGUAUUCAAGUUCUUUGAUAACACAGCAAAAAAUCAAAAUAAGAGGUGAAUAACCAUUAUGUUGUUACACAGAACAUCAUCUGCACCGCAAAUAACACAACAGAAAUGCAUUUCUUUAGAGCCCCAUCCUUGAAGAUCAUCCUGUGCUGUCUCUGACAAGAAGAAAGCCAUGAUGCGUUGUGAAAUGUUUCCUCAUGGGUCUCAUUUGGUUUGGCUGCCAAAACACUUUUAAAUUUUUUUGUUGUUGUUGUUUCCUGCCUGCCAAAAGUAGCAGCCCGGGUUGUUUUGCCUGCAGGAAGCCAGAACUCCCAAGAUGUUUUCAUGCUUUUGGCAUCAUUACCUUAAUGAGGAAGUGCCCUUGUUCUGAGCACUGAGUGAGUCAUUAAAAAAAAUAAACCACCCCCCAUAAUGGUAGAAGGCCAGAUAAGCUUGGAAAAGGUAUUAGUCCUAGAGGAGAGGAUUUGUUUUACUCUGGUUUUGAGUACACUAUUAAAAAAUCAAAUAGCUGUUUAAAAACAUUUAGUUAGUGUGUCUGUGUGUAUUACAUAUGUGAAAACACUACAGAGCUCCCUCCAUUAAAUAUCAAGGUAUAGAACAUCCAAAAUGACAGAUCUCUAUGUUCCCCUUUUUGAAAACAAAAGUGCAGACAUGCUAAUGUGGUUUUCAGAGGGUUGGUUUAGAAGUAUAUAUAUUAUAUAAUAGAGAUAGAUAACAGAAACUGGCUUUUGAGGAUUGUGAGCACUUUCUCUUUAAAAAACACAUGAUUGGAAGAUAAAAACUGCUCACUCAGUGCUAAGAGGGCUAACAAGCUGACAUGAUUAUAGGAGGGUUUGGUUUUGACCUUCAAAUGCCACAUGCAUGUAUCGGAUAAGAGGCAAUCUUGAUAAAACACGGUGAAUUAAUUACUCUCCUUGUAUAGUGAUAAGUCUUUCUCCCAUAGUUAUCUACAGUGCAGUGGCCAGCAGGAAGUACCACCAAUAAGACAGUGUGGUUUGCUAAGCAGUGAUGAAAACAGGAAACUACUGUAGUUAUAAUUGUUUAAUACACCCUGCCACAUGUCCAGAUCUAAAAGAUUUUAAUACCGUAUGCAAAUGUGCCAUAGAUAUAGCUGCUAGCAAGUUGGUUACCUAAUUGGGUAUUUUUUUUUUAAAUUUUUUUUUCUGGAAAUUGUUAGGUGGCUGUCCAAAGGUCUUAGAAGUGUUAAUGGCCACAGUCAGCUGUUACUUCAUGAGAACAGCUGCAUUUCCAGGUUUUUAGCCUGACUCUUAGAGCCUUUAACUAUAAUAUAUCCCUAAACUGGAAGUCUUAUGGAUGCAGUAGAUCUGCAGUGCUUCCUCCUCAGUCGGUCUGUGUCUGCAGUUGAUUGUGUUAACAUUAUUUUAUUAAUUGCUGUUCAGCAGUGUCAAUAGACCUUGUAAUCCAUGAUGCUAAUUGUAGUCAUAGGCAGUGUGUUUUCUGCAGUCUUGUAAGUUCAAAUACUCUUGCUAUAUACAGUUUACAUGUGAACUCCCUUUUUUAUGAUGCAUGUACAUAGUCACUUGAAGAGGCCUGUAGAUGAAAGUUGGCUUGACAAAUGCAAUUUCAUGAAGCUAGUGCAGAAGCAAAGGAACAGCAAGAAGUGGCGAUGCUGACAAAUUCCCAGUACAGCACAAAGACGACGAUUCGGUGGAUAAAUCAUCCUGAAUGAAGGAUGCUAUCUUUGGUCACAAAUUAGCUUACAGGGUAAAAAA